UACAGAGGUUUCAAGCGUUGUUCGGAUUCAUUGGGCGUAAAGGGUGUGUAGGCGGCGCGGUAAGUCGGGUGUGAAAUCUCGGAGCUUAACUCCGAAACUGCAUUCGAUACUGCCGUGCUUGAGGACUGGAGAGGAGACUGGAAUUUACGGUGUAGCGGUGAAAUGCGUAGAUAUCGUAAGGAAGACCAGUGGCGAAGGCGGGUCUCUGGACAGUUCCUGACGCUGAGGCACGAAGGCCAGGGGAGCAAACGGG
rnacentral:rRNA from 1 species